rnacentral:rRNA from 1 species
UACGUAGGGUGCAAGCGUUAUCCGGAAUUAUUGGGCGUAAAGAGCUCGUAGGUGGUUUGUCGCGUUGUUCGUGAAAACUCACAGCUUAACUGUGGGCGUGCGGGCGAUACGGGCAGACUUGAGUACUGCAGGGGAGACUGGAAUUCCGGGUGUAGCGGUGGAAUGCGUAGAGAUCCGGAAGAACACCGGUGGCGAAGGCGGUGAGCUGGGCAGUUGCUGACACUGAGGCGCGACAGCGUGGGGAGCAACAGGG